UACGUAGGGGGCAAGCGUUGUCCGGAAUCAUUGGGCGUAAAGAGCGCGUAGGCGGUCCGAUAAGUCGGCUGUGAAAGUCAGGGGCUCAACCCUUGAAAGCCGGCCGAUACUGUCGGACUAGAGUCCGGAAGAGGCGAGUGGAAUUCCCGGUGUAGCGGUGAAAUGCGCAGAUAUCGGGAGGAACACCAAUGGCGAAGGCAGCUCGCUGGGACGGUACUGACGCUGAGACGCGAAAGCGUGGGGAGCAAACAGG
rnacentral:rRNA from 1 species